UUGGAGGGCAAGUCUGGUGCCAGCAGCCGCGGUAAUUCCAGCUCCAAUAGCUUAUAUUAAAGUUGUUGCAGUUAAAAAGCUCGUAGUUGAAUUUCGGGGUCAGUAGAUUGGUCAUGCCACUGGUAUGUACUGGUCUCACUGAUUCCUCCUUCCUGAUGAGCCGUAAUGCCAUUAAUUUGGUGUUGCGAGGAAUCUGGACUGUUACUUUGAAAAAAUUAGAGUGUUUAAAGCAGGCUAACGCUUGAAUACAUUAGCGUGGAAUAAUGAAAUAGGACGUUCGAUCUUAUUUUGUUGGUUUCUAAGAUUGACGUAAUGAUUAAUAGGGAUAGUUGGGGGCAUUAGUAUUCAAUUGUCAGAGGUGAAAUUCUUGGAUUUAUUGAAGACUAACUACUGCGAAAGCAUUUGCCAAGGAUGUUUUCAUUAAUCAAGAACGAAAGUUAGGGGAUCGAAGACGAUCAGACACCGUCGUAGUCUUAACCAUAAACUAUGCCGACUAGGGAUCGGAUGAUGUUAAUUUUUUAAUGACUCAUUCGGCGCCUUACGGGAAAC
rnacentral:rRNA from 1 species